rnacentral:rRNA from 1 species
GCAGAACGCGAAGAACCUUACCAGGUCUUGACAUCCCAAUGACCGCUCUAGAGAUAGAGUUUUCCCUUCGGGGACAUUGGUGACAGGUGGUGCAUGGUUGUCGUCAGCUCGUGUCGUGAGAUGUUGGGUUAAGUCCCGCAACGAGCGCAACCCUUAUUCUUAGUUACCAUCAUUUAGUUGGGCACUCUAAGGAGACUGCCGGUGACAAACCGGAGGAAGGUGGGGAUGACGUCAAAUCAUCAUGCCCCUUAUGACCUGGGCAACACACGUGCUACAAUGGACGGUACAAAGAGCUGCGAACCCGCGAGGGUAAGCCAAUCUCAUAAAACCGUUCUCAGUUCGGGUUGUAGUCUGCAACUCGACUACAUGAAGCCGGAAUCGCUAGUAAUCGCGGAUCAGCAUGCCGCGGUGAAUACGUUCCCGGGUCUUGUACACACCG